rnacentral:rRNA from 1 species
AUGAAUGCCCUGAUUUGGAACUGCCAGGGAGGGGGGAAUUCCCGAACAGUUCGAGAUUUGGCGACGAUGGUGCAGUCGCAUUCCCCCAAAUUUGUAUUUUUGUGUGAAACUCGACAGGAAGCUAGUAAGAUGAGGAGAUAUAGGGGUCGUCUCGGCCUUAAGGGUUUUGAAGGUGUGGAUAGCUCAGGCAUGAGUGGUGGUUUGGCGUUAUACUGGCAUGAAUCAUAUCAAGUUACUUUGCUGGGGAAGGAUGAUCGGUACAUUGAUGUUUCUGUCAUAACUGAGCCGAACGGUGAGCCAUGGAGAUUGACCGGGGUGUAUGGAGAGCCUAGGGUGGAGAAUAGACAUCUUAUGUGGUCUACCUUACAAGACUUGAGUGCACAAUCUAAUUUACCCUGGCUAGUAAUCGGAGAUUUUAACGAGGCGUUGUGGAGUUUUGAACAUAUGUCCCUUACACCCUGCCCUGAACCACAAAUGGCAGCUUUCUGGAAUACUUUGAUGCUUUGUGAUUUAGUGGACCUGGGUUUUUCAGCUGUGCCCUAUACCCACGACAGUAUAAGGUAUGGUGCAGCAAAUGUGCGAGUCCGUUUAGAUCGAGCGGUGGCUACAAAUUCUUGGCGGAACUUGUUCGCUUUUACAGUGUGCGGCACCUUGCGUCUCCAUGUUCUGAUCAUGUGCAGUUAUUGCUCAAGGGUGCCCCGGACCAGGAACAACGUAAAGUUCAUCCACGCAGGUAUGAGAUAUUUUGGGAAAGAGACGCCGGGCUACCAGAAUUAG